rnacentral:rRNA from 1 species
CGAACGGUAACAGGAAGCAGCUUGCUGCUUCGCUGACGAGUGGCGGACGGGUGAGUAAUGUCUGGGAAACUGCCUGAUGGAGGGGGAUAACUACUGGAAACGGUGGCUAAUACCGCAUAACGUCGCAAGACCAAAGAGGGGGACCUUCGGGCCUCUUGCCAUCAGAUGUGCCCAGAUGGGAUUAGCUUGUUGGUGAGGUAACGGCUCACCAAGGCGACGAUCCCUAGCUGGUCUGAGAGGAUGACCAGCCACACUGGAACUGAGACACGGUCCAGACUCCUACGGGAGGCAGCAGUGGGGAAUAUUGCACAAUGGGCGCAAGCCUGAUGCAGCCAUGCCGCGUGUAUGAAGAAGGCCUUCGGGUUGUAAAGUACUUUCAGCGGGGAGGAAGGUGUUGUGGUUAAUAACCGCAGCAAUUGACGUUACCCGCAGAAGAAGCACCGGCUAACUCCGUGCCAGCAGCCGCGGUAAUACGGAGGGUGCAAGCGUUAAUCGGAAUUACUGGGCGUAAAGCGCACGCAGGCGGUCUGUCAAGUCGGAUGUGAAAUCCCCGGGCUCAACCUGGGAACUGCAUUCGAAACUGGCAGGCUUGAGUCUUGUAGAGGGGGGUAGAAUUCCAGGUGUAGCGGUGAAAUGCGUAGAGAUCUGGAGGAAUACCGGUGGCGAAGGCGGCCCCCUGGACAAAGACUGACGCUCAGGUGCGAAAGCGUGGGGAGCAAACAGGAUUAGAUACCCUGGUAGUCCACGCCGUAAACGAUGUCUACUUGGAGGUUGUGCCCUUGAGGCGUGGCUUCCGGAGCUAACGCGUUAAGUAGACCGCCUGGGGAGUACGGCCGCAAGGUUAAAACUCAAAUGAAUUGACGGGGGCCCGCACAAGCGGUGGAGCAUGUGGUUUAAUUCGAUGCAACGCGAAGAACCUUACCUGGUCUUGACAUCCACAGAAGAAUCCAGAGAUGGAUUUGUGCCUUCGGGAACUGUGAGACAGGUGCUGCAUGGCUGUCGUCAGCUCGUGUUGUGAAAUGUUGGGUUAAGUCCCGCAACGAGCGCAACCCUUAUCCUUUGUUGCCAGCGAUUAGG